GAUGCAAAUGGGCUUUGCGGACAAAAGGCUAAAAAUAUGGCCCGUGAAUUCCACCACUUGAAGCGUCCGUCCCCGCGAGGCGGGAACACCAUGCCCGCCAGCUCGGAUCUUCUCCCGCUGACUGAUGCCGGCCACAAUGUCGAAGUUGUCAACUCCGUUUAUGUCAUGUGGAUUUUUUUUAAAAUUUUUUUUAAACAAUGCCUUGAACCUUUCUCCAGACUUAUUUUCGGUUCCCCGAUCUCUACCGGUUGUUCUCUGUCAAUUGCACAGGUUUCCUUCCCAAACGAAACCAGAAUUGUCCAAUUAAGCGACGUGAACCCUCCUCAGAGGGCCCCAGACUCCCCCCCGUCUGUGCAUUUUGCUUUCUUUCCAUCCAUUUCAGAGGUAGAUGGUUUUGACUUGUUUUAGGAGUUGAAAUGUCUUUAUGCUAUUUUACAUUUUAAAAAAUGUCUUUCUGAAAUGGCAUUGUUUGAUGGACGAUUAGAGGGUUAUCAAUUCGGUGAAAAUGAUGCGAUCUCGCGCCUAAGCCAAGUCUCGUCUCUCUCUUCUCUCUAGUACAUGUUCAAUUUUAUUUAAAGAAAAGCAUCACCGACAGAGGUGUGCGCUGGAUGGUACUAUUAUCCUUGUAUUUUAUUCUUGUUGUGGUCUCUUUAUCUGGUGAAAUUCGAAGCACAUAACUUGGACGAAGCUUUUUACAAACUCCAUUUAGCCUUUUAUCGUGGAAGUUUUACGUUUUAUUCAUGAUUGGGAUGCAUGGCUACCGAGAUGAUCCCAACUAUACCUGCUCUAGUUCUGCUAGUAAAUAGCCUGUAACAACCUGACCAGUUUUAUACCGAUAGAUAAGUUGGGGACAAUUGUUCCCACCUGCCCAAAUCCCAUUGUGAAGAAAGCUCCGGCCUGCAGUAAAAGAUAGACGAAGAAAUGGUCGUGCCCGAAUAGCAGGUCAUAGAUUGCACAAUGCAGCAAAAACAUCCCCAUGAGUAUCUCCAGUGGGUGUAUUCUGUUGAUAAAAUCGGAGGAUUAUAAAUAUGCGCAAGACCAUUGGGAAGACUUGAGCCUGAUAUGCUUUGAUACGGUUUAAUCCCACGGUAAUUCUUGGCUUGUUGAACUGGAUACAAAUUGACAUGCUUUACGGUGAGCUACAAAGGUCGUUUGAAGCCAGGAAAUAUUUAUCUAUGAUGAAGAAUUCUUGAGUUUGUUAUUGUUGGUUUUAAUGUUAUAUCAAUUGUUUCCUUGUUUUUUUCUUUUUCCCCGCAGCCGGCCCCCUCAGUCUCACUAAAUAGUGUAAAUAUAUGAGUGUGGUCGUGGCAAGCACGAGAAGGAUGGUAAUUUGCAAAGCUUUCCUUUAGAAUGGAAGAAGGCCGGGUGGUAAUUGUUGGAAAGCCUGGACUGGUAAUGGAUGGGGAAACCAAGUAUAAGUAAAGAGUAUGGAAAUAUUUAUCGUUCCGAGUUGUUAAAUAUUCAUGGGAAGAAGGUUGUUUAAACGGGAAAUCACUAUUUUAUGUGCCUUAUAUUUCUUGAUUAGAAUCUUUUUCCGGUCAAUCUGACGAAUAAUCUCAGGGAAAUUUUGUUGAUUGAAUGAUAUAUUGAUUUGAAUAAUGGAAGCUUUUAAAAAUAAA